rnacentral:lncRNA from 1 species
GGUGCCCAGGAUUUUGUUUGAAUUUUCAGCCGUUUUCUUGGCAUAUAUUGGUGAAAUAGUCUGCGGACACAACCAUCCCUGC